GACGAACGCUGGCGGCGUGCUUAACACAUGCAAGUCGAACGGGAAGGCCCUGCUUUUGUGGGGUGCUCGAGUGGCGAACGGGUGAGUAACACGUGAGUAACCUGCCUUUGACUUUGGGAUAACUUCAGGAAACUGGGGCUAAUACCGGAUAGGAGCUCCUGCUGCAUGGUGGGGGUUGGAAAGUUUCGGCGGUUGGGGAUGGACUCGCGGCUUAUCAGCUUGUUGGUGGGGUAGUGGCUUACCAAGGCUUUGACGGGUAGCCGGCCUGAGAGGGUGACCGGCCACAUUGGGACUGAGAUACGGCCCAGACUCCUACGGGAGGCAGCAGUGGGGAAUAUUGCACAAUGGGCGGAAGCCUGAUGCAGCAACGCCGCGUGCGGGAUGACGGCCUUCGGGUUGUAAACCGCUUUCGCCUGUGACGAAGCGUGAGUGACGGUAAUGGGUAAAGAAGCACCGGCUAACUACGUG
rnacentral:rRNA from 1 species